rnacentral:rRNA from 1 species
GACGAACGCUGGCGGCGUGCUUAACACAUGCAAGUCGAGCGACUGCAUUCUUUUCGGAGGGUGUAUGGAGCGGCGAACGGGUGAGUAACACGUGAGUAAUCUGCCUUUGGCUUGGGAAUAACUUCGGGAAAUCGGGGCUAAUGCCUGAUGUUUACUGUCUGCUGCAUGGUGGGUGGUGGAAAGAUUUUUUGGCCAGGGAUGAGCUCGCGGUCUAUCAGCNGUUGGUGGGGGUAAUGGCUUACCAAGGCGACGACGGGUAGCCGGCCUGAGAGGGCGACCGGCCACACUGGGACUGAGACACGGCCCAGACUCCUACGGGAGGCAGCAGUGGGGAAUCUUGCGCAAUGGGCGAAAGCCUGACGCAGCGACGCCGCGUGAGGGAUGACGGCCU